rnacentral:tRNA from 1 species
UGGGAUGUAGCUCAGUGGUAAAGCACCCCUGAGUUCAAUUCCCAGUAUCCCAA